UGCCUAACACAUGCAAGUCGAACGGAGUUCUUGAGGAAUGCGACUUCGGUCAAAUGACUUUUGAACUUAGUGGCGGACGGGUGAGUAACGCGUGAGCAACCUGCCUUUCAGAGGGGGAUAACAUUUGGAAACAGAUGCUAAUACCGCAUAAGAUUACAGUACCGCAUGAUACAGUGAUCAAAGGAGCAAUCCGCUGAAAGAUGGGCUCGCGUCCGAUUAGAUAGUUGGUGAGGUAACGGCUCACCAAGUCGACGAUCGGUAGCCGGACUGAGAGGUUGAACGGCCACAUUGGGACUGAGACACGGCCCAGACUCCUACGGGAGGCAGCAGUGGGGAAUAUUGCACAAUGGGCGAAAGCCUGAUGCAGCAACGCCGCGUGAGGGAAGACGGUUUUCGGAUUGUAAACCUCUGUUUUCGGUGACGAACAAAUGACGGUAACCGAGUAGGAAGCCACGGCUAACUACGUGCCAGCAGCCGCGGUAAUACGUAGGUGGCAAGCGUUAUCCGGAAUUACUGGGUGUAAAGGGAGCGCAGGCGGGAUAGCAAGUCAGCUGUGAAAACUAUGGGCUCAACCCAUAAACUGCAGUUGAAACUGUUAUUCUUGAGUGGAGUAGAGGCAAGCGGAAUUCCGAGUGUAGCGGUGAAAUGCGUAGAUAUUCGGAGGAACACCAGUGGCGAAGGCGGCUUGCUGGGCUCUAACUGACGCUGAGGCUCGAAAGUGUG
rnacentral:rRNA from 1 species